rnacentral:rRNA from 1 species
CGAAGGGGCUAGCGUUGCUCGGAAUCACUGGGCGUAAAGGGCGCGUAGGCGGCCUGAUAAGUCGGGGGUGAAAGCCUGUGGCUCAACCACAGAAUUGCCUUCGAUACUGUUAGGCUUGAGUAUGGUAGAGGUUGGUGGAACUGCGAGUGUAGAGGUGAAAUUCGUAGAUAUUCGCAAGAACACCGGUGGCGAAGGCGGCCAACUGGACCAUUACUGACGCUGAGGCGCGAAAGCGUGGGGGAGCAAACAGGAUU